GACGAACGCUUGCGGCGUGCUUAACACAUGCAAGUCGAACGGAAAGGCCCUGCUUUUGUGGGGUGCUCGAGUGGCGAACGGGUGAGUAACACGUGAGUAACCUGCCCUUGACUUUGGGAUAACUUCAGGAAACUGGGGCUAAUACCGGAUAGGAGCUCCUGCUGCAUGGUGGGGGUUGGAAAGUUUCGGCGGUUGGGGAUGGACUCGCGGCUUAUCAGCUUGUUGGUGGGGUAGUGGCUUACCAAGGCUUUGACGGGUAGCCGGCCUGAGAGGGUGACCGGCCACAUUGGGACUGAGAUACGGCCCAGACUCCUACGGGAGGCAGCAGUGGGGAAUAUUGCACAAUGGGCGGAAGCCUGAUGCAGCAACGCCGCGUGCGGGAUGACGGCCUUCGGGUUGUAAACCGCUUUCGCCUGUGACGAAGCGUGAGUGACGGUAAUGGGUAAAGAAGCACCGGCUAACUACGUGCCAGCAGCCGCGGUGAUACGUAGGGUGCGAGCGUUGUCCGGAUUUAUUGGGCGUAAAGGGCUCGUAGGUGGUUGAUCGCGUCGGAAGUGUAAUCUUGGGGCUUAACCCUGAGCGUGCUUUCGAUACGGGUUGACUUGAGGAAGGUAGGGGAGAAUGGAAUUCCUGGUGGAGCGGUGGAAUGCGCAGAUAUCAGGAGGAACACCAGUGGCGAAGGCGGUUCUCUGGGCCUUUCCUGACGCUGAGGAGCGAAAGCGUGGGGAGCGAACAGGCUUAGAUACCCUGGUAGUCCGCGCUGUAAACGGUGGGUACUAGGUGUGGGGUCCAUUCCACGGGUUCCGUGCCGUAGCUAACGCUUUAAGUACCCCGCCUGGGGAGUACGGCCGCAAGGCUAAAACUCAAAGGAAUUGACGGGGCCCCGCACAAGCGGCGGAGCAUGCGGAUUAAUUCGAUGCAACGCGUAGAACCUUACCUGGGUUUGACAUGGAUCGGGAGUGCUCAGAGAUGGGUGUGCCUCUUUUGGGGUCGGUUCACAGGUGGUGCAUGCCUGUCGUCAGCUCGUGUCGUGAGAUGUUGGGUUAAGUCCCGCAACGAGCGCAACCCUUGUUCACUGUUGCCAGCACGUUAUGGUGGGGACUCAGUGGAGACCGCCGGGGUCAACUCGGAGGAAGGUGGGGAUGACGUCAAGUCCUCAUGCCCCUUAUGUCCAGGGCUUCACGCAUGCUACAAUGGCUGGUACAGAGAGUGGCGAGCCUGUGAGGGUGAGCGAAUCUCGGAAAGCCGGUCUCAGUUCGGAUUGGGGUCUGCAACUCGACCUCAUGAAGUCGGAGUCGCUAGUAAUCGCAGAUCAGCAACGCUGCGGUGAAUACGUUCCCGGGGGCU
rnacentral:rRNA from 1 species